GACCACGUAGCUCAGUUGGCAGAGCGUUGGGCUGGUAUUCCAAAGGUCGUAGGUUCGAUUCCCACCGUGGCCA
rnacentral:tRNA from 1 species